GGGGAAUAUUGCACAAUGGAGGGAACUCUGAUGCAGCGACGCCGCGUGAGCGAUGAAGGUUUUCGGAUCGUAAAGCUCUGUCCUAAGGGACGAUAAUGACGGUACCUUAGGAGGAAGCCCCGGCUAACUACGUGCCAGCAGCCGCGGUAAUACGUAGGGGGCGAGCGUUGUCCGGAUUUAUUGGGCGUAAAGGGUGCGUAGGCGGCCUUGUAAGUCAGAUGUGAAAUCUCACGGCUUAACCGUGGUAAGCAUUUGAAACUGUGAGGCUUGAGUACAGGAGAGGAGAGUGGAAUUCCUAGUGUAGCGGUGAAAUGCGUAGAUAUUAGGAGGAAUACCAGUGGCGAAGGCGACUCUCUGGACUGUAACUGACGCUGAGGCACGAAAGCGUGGGGAGCAAACA
rnacentral:rRNA from 1 species